rnacentral:rRNA from 1 species
UAAGCUAGUAAGAUCCCUUGAAGAACACAAGGUUGAUAGGUCGGGGGUGUAAGCAUGGUAACAUGUUCAGCUGACCGAUACUAAUAGAUCGAGGGCUUGACCAA